rnacentral:rRNA from 1 species
AUUGAACGCUGGCGGCAGGCCUAACACAUGCAAGUCGAACGGUAACAGGAAGCAGCUUGCUGCUUUGCUGACGAGUGGCGGACGGGUGAGUAAUGUCUGAGAAACUGCCUGAUGGAGGGGGAUAACUACUGGAAACGGUAGCUAAUACCGCAUAACGUCGCAAGACCAAAGAGGGGGACCUUCGGGCCUCUUGCCAUCGGAUGUGCCCAGAUGGGAUUAGCUAGUAGGUGGGGUAACGGCUCACCUAGGCGACGAUCCCUAGCUGGUCUGAGAGGAUGACCAGCCACACUGGAACUGAGACACGGUCCAGACUCCUACGGGAGGCAGCAGUGGGGAAUAUUGCACAAUGGGCGCAAGCCUGAUGCAGCCAUGCCGCGUGUAUGAAGAAGGCCUUCGGGUUGUAAAGUACUUUCAGCGGGGAGGAAGGGAGUAAAGUUAAUACCUUUGCUCAUUGACGUUACCCGCAGAAGAAGCACCGGCUAACUCCGUG